rnacentral:rRNA from 1 species
UACGGGGGGAGCAAGCGUUGUUCGGAUUUACUGGGCGUAAAGGGCGCGUAGGCGGCGCAACAAGUCACUUGUGAAAUCUCCGGGCUUAACCCGGAGCGGCCAAGUGAUACUGUCGUGCUAGAGUGCGGAAGGGGCUACUGGAAUUCUCGGUGUAGCGGUGAAAUGCGUAGAUAUCGAGAGGAACACCUGCGGCGAAGGCGGGUAGCUGGGCCGACACUGACGCUGAUGCGCGAAAGCGUGGGGAGCGAACAGG